UACGUAGGUGGCAAGCGUUGUCCGGAAUUAUUGGGCGUAAAGCGCGCGCAGGCGGCCUCUUAAGUCUGAUGUGAAAGCCCCCGGCUCAACCGGGGAGGGCCAUUGGAAACUGGGAGGCUUGAGUAUAGGAGAGAAGAGUGGAAUUCCACGUGUAGCGGUGAAAUGCGUAGAGAUGUGGAGGAACACCAGUGGCGAAGGCGACUCUUUGGCCUAUAACUGACGCUGAGGCGCGAAAGCGUGGGGAGCAAAC
rnacentral:rRNA from 1 species